rnacentral:rRNA from 1 species
ACGAACGCUGGCGGCAGGCUUAACACAUGCAAGUCGAACGGGCAUCUUCGGAUGCUAGUGGCAGACGGGUGAGUAACACGUGGGAACGUACCUUUCGGUUCGGAAUAAUACAGGGAAACUUGCACUAAUACCGGAUACGCCCUUCGGGGGAAAGAUUUAUCGCCGAUAGAUCGGCCGGCGUCUGCUUAGCUAGUUGGGGAGGUCAUGGCUCAGCAAGGCGACGAUCAGUAGCUGGUCUGAGAGGAUGAUCAGCCACACAGGGAGCGGGACACGACCCAGAGUCUGGCGGGAUUCAAGAGGGGGGAAUGUUGGACAACGCGCGCAAGCCGGUGCCUGCCAUGCGGCGUGUGUGAUGGAGGCCUUAGGGUUGUAAAGCACUUUUGUCCGGGAAGAUAGUGACUGUACCGGAAGAAUAAGCCCCGGCUAACAUCGUGCCAGCCGCCGCCGUAAAAC